AACGAACGCUGGCGGCAGGCUUAACACAUGCAAGUCGAACGCUCGUAGCAAUACGAGAGUGGCAGACGGGUGAGUAACGCGUGGGAAUCUACCCAAAGGUACGGAACAACUCAGGGAAACUUGAGCUAAUACCGUAUGUGCCCGAGAGGGCAAAGAUUUAUCGCCUUUGGAUGAGCCCGCGUUGGAUUAGCUAGUUGGUGGGGCAACGGCCUACCAAGGCGACGAUCCAUAGCUGAUCUGAGAGGAUGAUCAGCCACACUGGGACUGAGACACGGCCCAGACUCCUACGGGAGGCAGCAGUGGGGAAUCUUGGACAAUGGGCGAAAGCCUGAUCCAGCCAUGCCGCGUGAGUGAAGAAGGCCUUAGGGUUGUAAAGCUCUUUUACCCGGGAAGAUAAUGACGGUACC
rnacentral:rRNA from 1 species